GACUGUUCUUGUGGUUCCUGGAACCCAUGAGGCUCACCUGGAGGAAGAUAAUCUGCGCUUGCAGGAGGAGUUGGACAGGGCUGACACGGAGCUGCGGGAGGAGGAAGAAAAGCAUCUUCAGUCCGAGCAUUGUGUUGGUGACUUGAAGACUGCCUUGGAUGACAAGGGAAGAGAAGCAAGAACUUCUUCCCAGAAACUGCAGGACCUCCCGUUGGCAUCUUCUGAGACUAAUCCGACUGUAAAACAACUGGAAGAAGAUGCGCAACACUCUGCAAGUGAAAAGAGCAGAUUGGAAGCCACUGUCCAGCAGCCAAGCGAUAGCGCUGAAGCCCUUCC